rnacentral:siRNA from 1 species
GAAAGUGACUACAUCGGGGUU